rnacentral:rRNA from 1 species
AACGAACGCUGGCGGCGUGCUUAACACAUGCAAGUCGAGCGGUAAGGCCUUUCGGGGUACACGAGCGGCGAACGGGUGAGUAACACGUGGGUGAUCUGCCCUGCACUCUGGGAUAAGCCUGGGAAACUGGGUCUAAUACCGGAUAUGACUACAUGCUGCAUGGUGUGUGGUGGAAAGAUUUAUCGGUGCAGGAUGGGCCCGCGGCCUAUCAGCUUGUUGGUGGGGUAAUGGCCUACCAAGGCGACGACGGGUAGCCGACCUGAGAGGGUGACCGGCCACACUGGGACUGAGACACGGCCCAGACUCCUACGGGAGGCAGCAGUGGGGAAUAUUGCACAAUGGGCGGAAGCCUGAUGCAGCGACGCCGCGUGAGGGAUGAAGGCCUUCGGGUUGUAAACCUCUUUCAGCAGGGACGAAGCGUGAGUGACGGUACCUGCAGAAGAAGCACCGGCUAACUACGUGCCAGCAGCCGCCGUAA